rnacentral:lncRNA from 1 species
GAUGUCGGCACCGGCACCAGCACCUCCAGCUCCGUACGCCGGCGGUUCCCUCUGGCGGCUCAGCCGGAGAUGAUGAGAGCGGUGCACUCACACUUUAUUGAUUGAGAAGUUGAACUUAGUAAUCGUGGGGCUCGCUAAGGAAAAUGAUGAAGAAAAAGAAAGAUUAAAUGGAAUUAUUGCGGGGUUGGCUGAAAAAGAAAAAUAUAAGGUUGAUAAAGAUGCUAUGCUCGAUAGGAUGUCACAAAUUGAAGCUAUGUUAACAAGUACAGCUCGUAGAUAAGCUAUAAACACUUGGUUUUGAAUGUUUCGAUGUUUAUCAUAUUAGGAUAAUUUUAUUUAUUUAAUGUUUCAGUUGACAUUUCUAUUCCAAUGUUUUAUAUGCUUUUCAAACAUAGAUGUUAUAUUUAGACUUUUUAUAUAAUUUUGUAAUUUUAUUGAUAUGUAAUUUUUAUGAAAAAAAAUCAAG